GCCUUCGUGGUGUAAUGGUAGCACACUGGGCGCAUAUUCGAGAGGUCCAGGGUUCGAUUCCCGGGGAGGGCA
rnacentral:tRNA from 1 species